UCUUCUGCACAAUGUUUAUCUAUAAAUUGCCGCAGUAUAAUAACUGUGCUAAGGUAGCACAAUCACUUGCCUACUAAUUAUAGGCUAGAAUGAAUGAAACUAUGAGAUUUAUACUGUCUCACAAAAUAACCUAAAAAUUUAUCUCAAGGUGAAAAAGCCUUAAUUCUCUUAUAAGACAAGAAGACCCUAUGAGCUUAAAACCUUUAUAGUUAGACUAAUACUAUAAAUAAAAUUUGGUUGGGGCGACCAAUAUACACAAAACAAUCUACAUUCCAUAAGACCUACACAUCAAACUAUCUCAAUAAUGAUCCGCUUAAAACGACCUCAGAACAAGCUACCAUAGGGAUAACAGACUAAUUUUUUUCUAAAGUUCAUAUUAAAAAAAAAGAUUAGUACCUCGAUGUUGGCUUAUUAAUUAUUUACCUGGAGCAAGUCCUAGGCAAAAAAGGUUUGUUCAACCUUUAAUAUUAUACGUGAUCUGAGUUCAGACCGGG
rnacentral:rRNA from 1 species